UCCGUAGGUGAACCUGCGGAGGGAUCAUUAGCGAGUUAUAAACUCCCAACCCUCGUGGACAUACCUAUCGUUGCUUCGGCGGGGCGCCUACAGCGCAUCCCCUUCGGGGGGCCCGCCGGCGGCACCCAAACCAAACUUUAUCUUCUGGCGUAUUCUGAGUAAACUACAAAUAAGUUAAAACUUUCAGCAACGGAUCUCUUGGUUCUGGCAUCGAUGAAGAACGCAGCGAAACGCGAUAUGUAAUACGAAUUGCAGAAUUCAGUGAGUCAUCGAAUCUUUGAACGCACAUUGCGCCCGCCAGCAUUCUGGCGGGCAUGCUUGUUCGAGCGUCCUCAAAAACCCUCGGGCCCCUGAGAUCUAGGUCUCGGGCGGCCCGGUGUUGGGGCGCCGCGGCUGCCGCGGCCCCCUAAAUUCAGCGGCGGACCUCCCAGCGGCCUGGCGUAGUAAUUUCUCUCGUCUCGGUUGCCUGGCGGGCCCUGCCCUCAGAACCAUCUCACCAAUUUGGACCUCGAAUCAAGUAGGAAUACCCGCUGAACUUAA
rnacentral:rRNA from 1 species